AGCCUUCUCGGUGGGAGAGGAUGAACUGCCAUGUCUAAGAGAAAGACUUGCCCCCGAAUUUGUAGGUCUGUAACUGACCAAGUUUUGUAAUUAUUAACAGGUAUUUGCCAAGUCCUAAUUGCUGAAUAUAAUGAAUUGGAACUAGAUGCGAAAAUAGAGCAGGACCUCUCCCCUUGAUGAGUUUUUAUUCCAGCCAUAUAAUUCUCAAUAAAACUUUUCCUGGGCUGGAUAGCAAAGGACACCUUUGGUUACCUGAAUGAACAGUUUUGGCCAGAAAUGGUGAGAAGAAAAAGCAUGAAGAAGCCGCGAAGUGUGGGGGAGAAAAAGGUGGAAGCGAAGAAACAGCUCCCGGAGCAAACUGUACAAAAACCUCGCCAAGAGUGUCGGGAGGCAGGACCGUUAUUCCUGCAGAGCAGGAGAGAGACGAGAGACCCUGAAACACGCGCCACCUAUCUUUGUGGGGAGGGAUAAUUGAAGCGCCCUGAGCGUACCAGAGCCAGAAAAAAAAAUGCUGCAUGGGAGCUGCAUCUUAGGGCAUGUGUAUUAGGGUGUGUGCAUGAUGAAUUUCUGGACUGGAUCCCAAUAUUAAAAAGUAGUUUGGCAUUUUAAUAAAGGGUCUCUAAGUAAAUUAAA
rnacentral:lncRNA from 1 species